CCUGACAGUUCUGUCUCUCUCUACGUGGGAUCUUUUGUCCUCUUCACCUUCUCAAUAAUUCAAUGGAAAGAGGAGACGUCAGCUCUGGUAUAAUUACUGUGUGAGGGUGCCAAGCUUCUCUGUCAAGGACAAGAUGGGACCAAGCUUUAAAGUACUGGAGAGGGCUAAAAGACGCAGCAACAAUGUGUACCAUGGCGCUGUUGAUGACAAAACUUCAGCUGCCGGGAGAUGAUGAAACUGCAGGUUCAUGGGCGGAGCCAAAUCAGCGCAACUGGGAGCCCCUGGCCAGUCUCCCAGGAGUUGUUAAGAUUUGUCUUUCGACCCGCUCAGUCUACAUCCUCUGGCACCAUGUUUCUGUUUGGUUGGCUUCGCCCUGGUUAAUAGCUAGGUUUACACUUCACAACACUUUGCAUUCAUCAUUCACUCAUCCAUCUGCUGCCACUCCUCGUUACUUCAUUUAAUUAUGAUUUUCUUAUAUAUGUAGUAAAUAAAUGUUAAACGUUUUAGUUGCAAA